GAUUAUGGCUCAGGACGAACGCUGGCGGCGUGCCUAACACAUGCAAGUCGAGCGAGGAGAUCCUUCGGGAUGAUCCUAGCGGCGGACGGGUGAGUAACACGUGGGCAACCUGCCUCAUAGAGAGGAAUAGCCUUCCGAAAGGGAGAUUAAUACCUCAUAACAUUGCAGUUUCGCAUGGAACAGCAAUUAAAGGAGUAAUCCGCUACGAGAUGGGCCCGCGGCGCAUUAGCUAGUUGGUGAGGUAACGGCUCACCAAGGCGACGAUGCGUAGCCGACCUGAGAGGGUGAUCGGCCACAUUGGGACUGAGACACGGCCCAGACUCCUACGGGAGGCAGCAGUGGGGAAUAUUGCACAAUGGGGGAAACCCUGAUGCCAGCAACGCCGCGUGAGUGAUGACGGCCUUCGGGUUGUAAAGCUCUGUCUUCAGGGACGAUAAUGACGGUACCUGAGGAGGAAGCCACGGCUAACUACGUGCCAGCCGCGGC
rnacentral:rRNA from 1 species